rnacentral:misc_RNA from 1 species
UUUCCGUAGGUGAACCUGCGGAAGGAUCAUUACUGAGUUAGGGUCUUUAUGGCCCGACCUCCAACCCUUUGUUUAAUCUACCAUGUUGCUUUGGCAGGCCCGCUUAGAAAUGGGCCGCCGGAGACCUUUGAGUCUCUGGUCAGUGCCUGCCAGUAGCCUUUCUAAAUUCAUUUAUAACCGUGUCUGAAUAUACAAAGAAAGAUUAAAAUAAAACUUUCAACAACGGAUCUCUUGGUUCUG